UCAAGUGACUAAGUGCAUGCGGCGGAUGCCUUGGCGAUCACAGGCGAAGAAAGACGCGGCAGCCUGCGAAAAGCUGCGGGGAGCUGGCAAACGAGCUUUGAUCCGCAGAUAUCUGAAUGGGGGAACCCACACCGCAAGGUGUAUCCGUAACUGAAUACAUAGGUUACGGAGGCGAACGAGGAGAACUGAAACAUCUAAGUAUCCUCAGGAAAAGAAAUCAACCGAGAUUCCGGCAGUAGCGGCGAGCGAACCCGGAGGAGCCUAGCUUUUGAUAGUACGAACUUUAGCCGAAAGGUCCUGGAAAGGCCUGCUAUAGUGGGUGAUAGCCCCGUAGGCGAAAGAGUUGGUACGGUACUAAGGAAGCGAGAAGUAGAGCGGGACACGUGGAAUCCUGUUCGAAGACGGGGGGACCAUCCUCCAAGGCUAAAUACUCGUGAUCGACCGAUAGUGAACCAGUACCGUGAGGGAAAGGCGAAAAGAACCCCGGGAGGGGAGUGAAAUAGAACCUGAAACCGCAUGCAUACAAACAGUAGGAGCCUCGUCAGAGGUGACUGCGUACCUUUUGCAUAAUGGGUCAGCGACUUACAUUCUGUGGCGAGCUUAACCGAAUAGGGGAGGCGCAGCGAAAGCGAGUUCGAAAUGAGCGUUCAGUCGCAGGGUGUAGACCCGAAACCAGAUGAGCUAUCCAUGGCCAGGUUGAAGGUGUGGUAACACACACUGGAGGACCGAACCGACUAGUGUUGCAAAAUUAGCGGAUGAGCUGUGGAUAGGGGUGAAAGGCCAAACAAAUCUGGAGAUAGCUGGUUCUCCCCGAAAACUAUUGAGGUAGUGCCUCGUGUGUCGCUCCAGGGGGUAGAGCACUGUUUUGACUAGGGGGACAUGGAGUCUUACCAAACCAAGGCAAACUCCGAAUACCUGGAAGCGUGAGCACGGGAGACAGAGCACCGGGUGCUAACGUCCGGACUCAAAAGGGAAACAACCCAGACCGCCGGCUAAGGUCCCAAAUAACAGCUAAGUGGAAAACGAAGUGGAAAGGCCGUGACAACCAGGAAGUUGGCUUAGAAGCAGCCAUCCUUCAAAGAAAGCGUAAUAGCUCACUGGUCGAGUCCUUCUGCGCGGAAGAUGUAACGGGGCUAAGCUGUUAACCGAAGCCGCGGAUGCGCUGGUUAUCCAGUGCGUGGUAGGGGAGCGUUCUGUAAGUCUGCGAAGGCGGUUCGAGAGGACUGCUGGAGAUAUCAGAAGUGCGAAUGCUGACAUGAGUAACGUUAAAGCAGGUGAAAAGCCUGCUCGCCGUAAGCCCAAGGAUUCCUGCUCUACGUUCAUCGGAGCAGGGUGAGUCGGCUCCUAAGGUCAGGCCGAAAGGCGUAGCCGAUGGGAAUCAGGUUAAUAUUCCUGAACCUGCGUCAGAUGCGAUGGGGGGACGGAGCAUGGAAGAUCAUCCGGGUGUUGGAAGUCCCGGUUGUUUAGCGUAGGAGGUCUGCAGGCAAAUCCGCAGACGCAUCUCCAAGGCAAAGACACGUGCCGCCACGGCGGCGAAGUGAUCGGAAGUGCUUCCAAGAAAAGCCUCUAAGCCCCAGUCUGACGCGGACCGUACCGCAAACCGACACUGGUGGGCGAGCUGAAUAUGCUCAGGCGCUUGAGAGAACUCGGGAGAAGGAACUCGGCAAAUUGACACCGUAACUUCGGAAGAAGGUGUGCCGUAGUACCGUGAGAGGAGAGACACCUUGAGCGGGAAACGGUCUCAGAGAAUAGGUGGCUGCGACUGUUUAUUAAAAACACAGCACUCUGCAAAGUCGAAAGACGACGUAUAGGGUGUGAUGCCUGCCCGGUGCUGGAAGAUUAAUUGAUGGGGUGAGAGCCCUUGAUCGAAGUCCCAGUAAACGGCGGCCGUAACUAUAACGGUCCUAAGGUAGCGAAAUUCCUUGUC
rnacentral:rRNA from 1 species